UAGGGAAUCUUCCACAAUGGGCGAAAGCCUGAUGGAGCAACGCCGCGUGUGUGAUGAAGGGCUUCGGCUCGUAAAGCUCUGUUGUUAAAGAAGAACACGUAUGAGAGUAACUGUUCAUACGUUGACGGUUAUUUAACCAGAAAGUCACAGCUAACUACGUGCCAC
rnacentral:rRNA from 1 species